rnacentral:rRNA from 1 species
AUGGCGACCGCGGCGGCGGCGGCGUCGCUCCGGUACUUCCCCUCUUCCAUCAGGAACCGCAGCUAUCCCGGAACUAUCGGCGGCGGCGCUGUGGUCACGUUUUCUCCACGGCGGGGCCGCUGUGCGACGGCGGCCGUGGCCGCGCCUUCGCGGGAGGCGGAGCCGGCCUCCUCGCUCGGGGACCUCACCCGCGUAGACUUCCCCAUCCUGGACCAGGAAUUUGAUGGUAACAAAUUAGUUUACUUCGACAAUGGUUCAACAUCACAGAAACCCUCUCAUGUGAUGAAAGCCUUAGACGACUACUACCGAUUUUAUAAUUCGAAUGUUCACCGUGGCAUUCAUGCUCUCAGCGCAAAGGCUACUGAUGCAUAUGAGAGUGCAAGAAGGAAAGUUGCAAAUUUCGUCAAUGCGGCUGAUAGUAGAGAGAUUAUUUUUACUCGUAAUGCUACAGAAGCUAUCAAUUUAGUAGCUUAUUCGUGGGGCCUAUCUAACUUAAAACAAGGAGAUGAGAUUAUUCUUACAGUUGCGGAGCAUCAUAGUGCGAUUGUUCCUUGGCAAUUUGUAUCCCAAAAAACUGGUGCUGUCCUAAAGUAUGUUGGGCUGACUAAAGAAGAGGUUCCAGACAUUGAGCAGUUAAAAGGGCUUCUGUCAAGCAAGACAAAGAUUGUUGUUGUCCAUCAUGUUUCAAACGUCCUGGGUUCAAUGCUUCCUAUUGAGGAGGUCGUAUCAUGUGCAAACAAAGUUGGAGCUAAAGUUCUUGUAGAUGCUUGUCAAAGUGUUCCUCAUAUGCCUGUUGAUGUUCAGAAGCUUGGUGCAGAUUUUCUUGUUGCAUCCUCGCAUAAGAUGUGUGGCCCUACAGGCGUCGGAUUCUUGCAUGGAAAAUUUGAGAUCUUGUCGUCUAUGGAGCCUUUCUUAGGUGGUGGUGAAAUGAUUGCAGAUGUGUUCGAAGACAAAUCUACAUAUGCUGAGCCGCCUUCUAGAUUUGAGGCUGGAACUCCUGCAAUUGGAGAGGCUAUAGGAUUGGGAGUUGCGAUAGAUUAUCUGUCACACUUUGGCAUGCAGAGGAUCCACGAGUAUGAGAAAGAGUUGGGGUCGUACCUUUAUGAGAGCCUUCUCUCUGUUCCAAAUGUUCGUAUCUAUGGCCCGGCGCCUUCUGCAAGUGAUCACCGUGCUCCUUUAUGUUCUUUCAAUGUUGAGAAUGUUCAUCCAACAGAUAUUGCUGAAAUUCUUGAUCUCCAGCAUGGCGUAGCGAUUCGGUCAGGGCAUCAUUGUGCACAGAUUUUGCAUCGCACCCUUGGUAUCAAUGCGAGCGCCCGUGCCAGUCUUCACUUCUACAACACAAAAGAGGAGGUGGAUGCCUUCAUCCAUGGGCUAAAAGCUACCAUUGAUUUCCUUACUUCCCACCACUAG